AGACAGAGAGAGACAGGUGGAGACAGAGAGAGACGGGUGGAGAGAGAGACAGACAGGUGGAGACAGAGACAGGUGGAGACAUACACAGGUGGAGAGAGAGACAGGUGGAGACAGAGAGAGACAGGUGGAGACAGAGAGAGACGGGUGGAGAGAGAGACAGGUGGAGAGAGAGAGAGACAGGUGGAGAGAGAGACAGGUGGAGAGAGAGACGGGUGGAGAGAGAGAGAGACAGGUGGAGAGACAGAGAGA